rnacentral:rRNA from 1 species
GUGCCAGCCGCCGCGGUAAUACGAAGGUCCCAAGCGUUAUCCGGAAUUAUUGGGCGUAAAGCGCAUGUAGGCGGUUUGUUAAGUCUGGUGUGAAAGCUCAAGGCCUAACCUUGAAAUUGCAUUGGAAACUGGCAAACUAGAAUACUGGAGGGGUAAGUGGAAUUCCAUGUGUAGCGGUGGAAUGCGUAGAUAUAUGGAGGAACACCAAUGGCGAAGGCAGCUUACUGGACAGUUAUUGACGCUGAGACGCGAAAGCGUGGGGAGCAAACAGGAUUAGAUACCCUAGUAGUCC